GAAUGUCUAGAGAACGUGUCUCCUUAUUCAACUCCAGUGCAGUUGCCGUGGCAACCUGAUCGACACAAUGACUUGGUGGACCCUGCGAUAUAAUACAAGAGAAAAAACCCGUGUCAAAAUCCCAGUUCAGUGCGUCUCCUGUCUGGAUGGCUUUCUCUCUCGCGCUUCCUGCCUUAUCCUCACUCUGCACGUAUGCUCAUUCACGUGCGCACACUUGUGCAGCACACACCCUAAUCACUUAGUGAAGGAUGCAAAAGGACAGUUUAAUCACAGCGAAGUAGCUCAAACACAGUGAAAAAAUACCUAAUCCCUGAAGUUGAGAGUCAUCCUUCUGAAGAAUACACACCAAUCAUCAUUUCCUGUCCACCACAAAUUCUUUUUCCUGUAAGGACUGACUUGCACAGAUUCAACUCAUGUCCUUAGAGAAGGUGAAAUGGAUUCGGCACCUGAGAGCGACGCGCUUUGCGCUACU